GUGUUUGGGAGGGAUUUGGGGAUAUUCUGAGGGGAUUUGGGGAUGUUCUGAGGGGAUUUGGGGGUGUUUUGGGGGGGUUUGGGGAUGUUUGGGAGGGGUUUGGGCACAUUUGGGGGGGGUUUGGGGGUGUUUUGGGGGGGGUUCGGGAAUAUUUGGAAGGAAUUUGGGGACGUUUCUGGAGGGUUUGGGGGCGUUGGGGACACCUGGAGGGGGUCUGGGGACAUUUGGAGGGGAUUUGGGGACGUUUCAGGAGAAAUUGGGGACAUUUGGAGGGGAUUUGGGGACGUUUCAGGGGGAAUUGGGGAUAUUUGGGGACAGGAAUUGGAGGUUUGGGACACCUGGGGACAGGAGUUGGGAUGUGGGGACGUUUGCGGACAGGAAUUGGGAUUUGGGGACAUUUGGGGACAUUCUGGGCACACCUGGGGACAGGAGUUGGGAUUUGGGGACAUUCGGCGACGUUUGCAGGGGGGUGGGGAGCUCUGGGCCCACCUGGGGCCAGCUGAGAGCGGCCCGGAGGCGUCCCCAGAGGUGUCCCGGAUGUCCCCAGAGGUGUCCUGGAUGUCCCCAGAGGUGUCCUGGAUGUCCCCAGGUGUGUCCUGGAUGUCCCCAGGUGUGUCCAGGUGUCCCCAGGGGUCCCCCAGGUCCCCGGUGGUGUCACCGCCGUCCCCGUGGCCGUCCCCGUGGCCGUUCACCUGCGGGUCCGAAACGUCCCACGUGUGCCCAGGUGUGUCCCAG
ensembl:lncRNA